GACGAACGCUGGCGGCGUGCCUAAUACAUGCAAGUCGAGCGAAGUUUUUCUGGUGCUUGCACUAGAAAAACUUAGCGGCGAACGGGUGAGUAACACGUAAAGAACCUGCCUCAUAGACUGGGACAACUAUUGGAAACGAUAGCUAAUACCGGAUAACAGCAUUAACUGCAUGGUUGAUGUUUAAAAGUUGGUUUUGCUAACACUAUGAGAUGGCUUUGCGGUGCAUUAGCUAGUUGGUGGGGUAAAGGCCUACCAAGGCGACGAUGCAUAGCCGACCUGAGAGGGUGAUCGGCCACACUGGGACUGAGACACGGCCCAGACUCCUACGGGAGGCAGCAGUAGGGAAUCUUCGGCAAUGGGGGCAACCCUGACCGAGCAACGCCGCGUGAGUGAAGAAGGUUUUCGGAUCGUAAAGCUCUGUUGUAAGAGAAGAACGAGUGUGAGAGUGGAAAGUUCACACUGUGACGGUAACUUACCAGAAAGGGACGGCUAACUACGUGCCUGCAGCCGCGGUAAUACGUAGGUCCCGAGCGUUAUCCGGAUUUAUUGGGCGUAAAGCGAGCGCAGGCGGUUAGAUAAGUCUGAAGUUAAAGGCUGUGGCUUAACCAUAGUACGCUUUGGAAACUGUUUAACUUGAGUGCAGAAGGGGAGAGUGGAAUUCCAUGUGUAGCGGUGAAAUGCGUAGAUAUAUGGAGGAACACCGGUGGCGAAAGCGGCUCUCUGGUCUGUAACUGACGCUGAGGCUCGAAAGCGUGGGGAGCAAACAGG
rnacentral:rRNA from 1 species